CUCUUCUGUAUCGUGUGGCACACGCAUAUUGUGCCAUGUACAAACUUUUCACAUCCGUGCCAUGUAUCCUGGAUCCAGCACCCAGCACGACAGGGACAAGCCAGGGCCCAGGGCCGGGGCCAGUCUUUUGCGCAGUUUCGAAUGCCCACAAAACAAUGGAGAAAGGAAAGUCGUGGAAAAAAAAAACGUUCUAUCGCUGAAAUUUUCACCAUUUCACUUGAGUUUUUCACGGAUUAAGCCACUUCCUGGGCCAUUUUCGUGCACACUUCUUGUACGAUGCGACCUUUUCGAUUUUUGGCAUAUUUAUUUAUUUAUUUUAUUGUUCAUUUUACCGUUCGAUUAGCAAUAAUUUAUUAACCGGUUUUUCUCGUGACGUUUUCGCCUUUUUACAAUCGGAACGGAACGACGGGCACCAACCAUCGUAGAAAUAUUCAAAAGGAUGGUUUCGGUUGUUUUCCACCCUCUCUCUUACUCUCUCUCUCUCUUUUUGCUCUCUCUUGGGUACAUGGGAGCGCAGGGUAUAAUAUCAUUGGUGAGGGACCGCUAAGAAAGGAAUAAUGAUAAUCAGGCCAUAGUUAUAUCGUUUCAUUAGACGGAUAUUUAUUUCCUCCUUAAAGCAUACAUCAUUGACCGGAAUCUUUAUUUUUGGUAACUCAAACUAGUGGAUGCACCCCAUAAUACAUUCUACCUUGCAGCCAAUCGCCUCUCUUUUGUGCAUGUGUGCGAGCGUGAGUUUUUGUCACGACCUUCUCUCUCUUUCUAUUCUCUCUCGGCCCUGCCUUCGUCCUUCGUGUGUAGUUUUCAAUUACAACUGCUGCCCCGAAAGGGCAAAAAAGGCGCGCCCCCGCCCGCCGACCAACGAAAUACAC
rnacentral:lncRNA from 1 species